rnacentral:misc_RNA from 1 species
GUACUAUAUGCAUAUGCAGGAAUCAACUUAGUGUUAUCUAACUCAUCCUCUUCGUCGCCGGCAUCAUCACCUUCUGAUUCUGCAUCGGCGGUGAUCAUCAGUGGAGUCCUUGGGGUCUCACCUUCUGUUGCGUCAAAUGAGUCUAAUGUCGCACAAAUAUGCCACUUAGCAGCCAAGCAAGCAACAGCUUGAGCCUUGUGCGCCUUGUGCGUGAUUUUUGUAGCACUACGCAGUAUUAUUAGGAUCCCCGUGACAAGGGUUAUAGAGCAUAGCGCAAGUUCUCCAGCUCUGUAAAUAUCAACAGCAGCACCAGACCUGGUGGUAAUGAGCAAGGAAGCAAAUUGGCUCCCUGUGACCAAAAUGAGGGCCCACAAAACGAAUGCUCGAUAUCUAUGGCUGAUGAUCCUCAAAUGCCUCCUGAUCCUAAGGUGCUCCGAUAACACAGAUUCGACAUCGGAAUCAACUUGAAAAACCUGAGCGAAGUCCUGGAGGCGUAGGAUCUGGAGGUGGCAGAUAAGAUGGAAGAGGACGCACACUAAGAAGAUGAUAGUGGUACGGUAAAGCCAAGAGCACAGCUCCAUUAUGCAAGCAACGGUG